rnacentral:rRNA from 1 species
CCCCUUCGGGGGGCGAGUAGAGUGGCGCACGGGUGCGUAACACGUAGGUAACGUACCCCUUCGCUGGGGAUAACCCCGGGAAACCGGGGCUAAUACCGAAUGAGCUGCGAAAGACUUCGGUCUUUUUCGGCAAAGGCGCAAGCCGCGAAGGGAUCGGCCUGCGGCCCAUUAGUUUGUUGGUGGGGUAAUGGCCCACCAAGGCUACGAUGGGUAGCUGGUCUGAGAGGAUGAUCAGCCACACUGGAACUGGAACACGGUCCAG